rnacentral:lncRNA from 1 species
UAAACGCUUAUCACCUUCUUGUUUCACCGAUAGAAAGAAAUCUGGGGAUGAAUAUGGAUUGCAGACUGCUGUGCUAUAUUGGCAGAGAAUAAUCAUGGAGGCUCCUUAAAUCAGAAUUCUAUGCAGCGUGAUACAUACAAAUAUUUUGGAGAUAAACGAUGAUGCAGAUAUACUUCUCCUGGGAUCCAAGCCAGCUCUGCACAGUGCUGCACUGUAUGGUAUAACACCUAAACAUCCCACUCGAGGUCUGUUAGAUGUGGGGUACACAGAAAUAUUCUUUCUCAUCAGGGUGUGCCAAGUACCUGGUAAGGGGAAUGUGGAGGAAAACUGAAAAAAGUGAGGAGCAGACAUGAGGUGACAAGAAUGCAGUUGUCUGUGCACAUCUGGAAUAGGUUCAGUUUCACCCCAGAUUUUUCACUGCUUUGUUGUUGUCCACAAUUGUCUUAAUUGCUUUGCAGGACAAACAAAAUAGAAUCCAGCUCCUGAAGAGCAUCAUAAUCUCAGAAUAGAUGAAAAAGCAUUAAAAGAUGGGAGAAAGAUAUACAACAUACCAGCAAAUCCACAGAGGUGACACAAAGCUGGUUCUGACUAUGAUACUGUGAAUUUUUUGUUUUCAGUAAGACUGUAUUCUCUUACAGCAUUUUCCAUUUAACAAUAUUAACAUACCUUUUCAUUGUAAAAGAACUGAGUUUAGGAUCAUCUGAAUACUUCUCCCA